CAGCAAAUCCGCACUUGAGCCUUAAUUGGUUCACCCGGAUCACUGACUCCGGCGCAAGGCGGAGAUAUAAUCAUCAUUCCUGAUUGUAUAGACGAGGAGACGGAGAGA